GAUGAACGCUGGCGGCGUGCCGAAUACAUGCAAGUCGAGCGAACAGACGAGGAGCUUGCUCCUCUGACGUUAGCGGCGGACGGGUGAGUAACACGUGGAUAACCUACCUAUAAGACUGGGAUAACUUCGGGAAACCGGAGCUAAUACCGGAUAAUAUAUUGAACCGCAUGGUUCAAUAGUGAAAGACGGUUUUGCUGUCACUUAUAGAUGGAUCCGCGCCGCAUUAGCUAGUUGGUAAGGUAACGGCUUACCAAGGCAACGAUGCGUAGCCGACCUGAGAGGGUGAUCGGCCACACUGGAACUGAGACACGGUCCAGACUCCUACGGGAGGCAGCAGUAGGGAAUCUUCCGCAAUGGGCGAAAGCCUGACGGAGCAACGCCGCGUGAGUGAUGAAGGUCUUCGGAUCGUAAAACUCUGUUAUUAGGGAAGAACAAAUGUGUAAGUAACUAUGCACGUCUUGACGGUACCUAAUCAGAAAGCCACGGCUAACUACGUG
rnacentral:rRNA from 1 species